rnacentral:rRNA from 1 species
AUUGAACGCUGGCGGCAGGCCUAACACAUGCAAGUCGAGCGGAUGAAGGGAGCUUGCUCCUGGAUUCAGCGGCGGACGGGUGAGUAAUGCCUAGGAAUCUGCCUGGUCGUGGGGGAUAACGUCCGGAAACGGGCGCUAAUACCGCAUACGUCCUGAGGGAGAAAGUGGGGGAUCUUCGGACCUCACGCUAUCAGAUGAGCCUAGGUCGGAUUAGCUAGUUGGUUGGGUAAAGGCCUACCAAGGCGACGAUCCGUAACUGGUCUGAGAGGAUGAUCAGUCACACUGGAACUGAGACACGGUCCAGACUCCUACGGGAGGCAGCAGUGGGGAAUAUUGGACAAUGGGCGAAAGCCUGAUCCAGCCAUGCCGCGUGUGUGAAGAAGGUCUUCGGAUUGUAAAGCACUUUAAGUUGGGAGGAAGGGCAGUAAGUUAAUACCUUGCUGUUUUGACGGUACCAACAGAAUAAGCAACGGCUAACUUCGUG